rnacentral:lncRNA from 1 species
UUAGCACUUGAGUUAGCCUGAUUCUUAAUCAAAGGUCUAGUCGGCUCAUCACUAUCCAAUAGUGAUAGGGGGAACUUAUAAGAGGACAUUUCUGCAUAAAGGAUAAAACCAAGGCCUUAUUAGUAAAUGAGUCAAUUAAUCUAAAGACAUAGAUUUUAGUCUAAAGAUCCUUCCACUAUUUUAUACGAAUCAGGAGCCUCUGCCUCUAAUCCGAAGAAUUACUCUUAAUUCUUUAGUGGGCACUAGAAUCCAAUAGGCCAUACCUGGGCCCGGCUUUGGUCGGUAUCAACCCAAAUACACCUAAAGGUAGGUUCAUAACAAAUUGUUUCAACUAAACAACUUCUAGUGAUCAUUUUGCCCCAGGAAGCACUUCAGCAGGCGUAUAUCGACACUACUGAAAGUUCCGGUUAGGUCCAACCAUUAACAUGUAGCAAUCAAUGCAAACUAUCUAAUAGAUGGUCAAGCCCGACUUUGGCC